rnacentral:misc_RNA from 1 species
GAUGAAGAACGCAGCGAAAUGCGAUAAGUAAUGUGAAUUGCAGAAUUCAGUGAAUCAUCGAAUCUUUGAACGCACAUUGCGCCCGCCAGUAUUCUGGCGGGCAUGCCUGUCCGAGCGUCAUUUCAACCCUCGAACCCCUCCGGGGGGUCGGCGUUGGGGAUCGGCCCUUUACGGGGCCGGCCCCGAAAUACAGUGGCGGUCUCGCCGCAGCCUCUCCUGCGCAGUAGUUUGCACACUCGCAUCGGGAGCGCGGCGCGUCCACAGCCGUUAAACACCCCAAACUUCUGAAAUGUUGACCUCGGAUCAGGUAGGAAUACCCGCUGAACUUAAGCAUAUCAAUAAGGGAGGA